GACGAACGCUGGCGGCGGGCUUAACACAUGCAAGUCGAACGGAAAGGCCCUGCUUUUGUGGGGUGCUCGAGUGGCGAACGGGUGAGUAACACGUGAGUAACCUGCCCUUGACUUUGGGAUAACUUCAGGAAACUGGGGCUAAUACCGGAUAGGAGCUCCUGCUGCAUGGUGGGGGUUGGAAAGUUUCGGCGGUUGGGGAUGGACUCGCGGCUUAUCAGCUUGUUGGUGGGGUAGUGGCUUACCAAGGCUUUGACGGGUAGCCGGCCUGAGAGGGUGACCGGCCACAUUGGGACUGAGAUGCGGCCCAGACUCCUACGGGAGGGAGCAGUGGGGAAUAUUGCACAAUGGGCGGAAGCCUGAUGCAGCAACGCCGCGUGCGGGAUGACGGCCUUCGGGUUGUAAGCCGCUUUCGCCUGUGACGAAGCGUGGGUGAGGGUAAUGGGUAAAGAAGCACAGGCUAACUACGUG
rnacentral:rRNA from 1 species